rnacentral:rRNA from 1 species
UAGGGAAUCUUCGGCAAUGGGGGCAACCCUGACCGAGCAACGCCGCGUGAGUGAAGAAGGUUUUCGGAUCGUAAAGCUCUGUUGUAAGUCAAGAACGGGUGUGAGAGUGGAAAGUUCACACUGUGACGGUAGCUUACCAGAAAGGGACGGCUAACUACGUGCCAGCAGCCGCGGUAAUACGUAGGUCCCGAGCGUUGUCCGGAUUUAUUGGGCGUAAAGCGAGCGCAGGCGGUUUGAUAAGUCUGAAGUUAAAGGCUGUGGCUCAACCAUAGUUCGCUUUGGAAACUGUCAAACUUGAGUGCAGAAGGGGAGAGUGGAAUUCCAUGCGUAGCGGUGAAAUGCGUAGAUAUAUGGAGGAACACCGGUGGCGAAAGCGGCUCUCUGGUCUGUAACUGACGCUGAGGCUCGAAAGCGUGGGGAGCUAACAGG